GGUUGCGAUCAUACCAGCACUAAUGCACCGGAUCCCAUCAGAACUCCGCAGUUAAGUGUGCUUGGGCGAGAGUAGUACUAGGAUGGGUGACCCCCUGGGAAGUCCUCGUGUUGCAACCC
rnacentral:rRNA from 1 species